AACUGCAGCGGGAAGAAAUCAUUACACGGCUCUGGUGGGAAAAAGAUAUUAUCCUGCGUCGCCAGCGAGACUGGCCGUCGGCAGGUAGGGCCCGGAGGAGCGCUGCGUGGCAGGAUGAUCGCUGAUAAGAGGCCGGGUCCUGCUCCGGUGGCCUCGGGAGAGGGAAGCGCCGCGCAGCGAAGCUAUGGAAACGGCCAGGCCGGGUGCGGGAGCGGUAAUUGGGCCACUCGCAUCACCGCAGAGGUGUUCCAGGAUAGGAAUGUUCACAGUCCUGUGUUAUCCAGUGUCAGCAGAGGGGUGGGAACACCUUGGACUGAGGCAGAUCUUUACCUUUUCAGAGAGGCAAGAGCAGCAGCAGUGGGAGAU